CGGCCAUUUUGUCUAGUUGAACGCACUCAGCGGUGUUUGGUCUAAUGGAACAAAUUUUGUCUACCUUUUCAACGAACACCACUGAAACUUCUACCUUCCGUGUGUUCGACUAGAAUCAUACAAACAGAGUGCUAUUUUGGGAGCAUAAUCAUACGAACAGGAUGUAUUAAUUGAUAGUAGACACGAACGGUUCCGAUAGUGAAG